rnacentral:lncRNA from 1 species
CAACUUUGGCCAAUGGAAGCCCCAUUUAGAUUGACUUUGUUGUAAUUUUGACAUGAUCUUGUAAACUUUGAAAGCUUUCUAGUUUUUUGGCACAAUAAGAUCAUCUUCAUUCGUUUUAUACCUUCUUGUCUCAAAUACAGCAUCAGUCAUGUGUCUAAGAAGCCUGGAAAAAAUUUACUGGAGGCCAGAACCUGGUAUAAGGGUGCUUUGUGAGGGUGGCAUUAUUUCUGGGAUAUUCAGUCUACAAAGCUGAAAAACAAGUUUUUUCUUUGUUUUGUUUUAUUAAGAUUCUCUGUAAAGACAUGAGAUAAUCUUGCUUCAUAGGCAUAUUUCUUAUGGGAAAUUUCUACAGAUUACUUUGUUCUAGAAGGUAUAUAGUCUUUGUGUGGCUACAUAAUUACUUAGCGAUGGAUAGUUUGGUUUAGUUAUUUUCAUUAGCUUCCAAUUUGAGGGCUUUG